rnacentral:rRNA from 1 species
UACAGAGGGGGCAAGCGUUAUUCGGAAUUAUUGGGCGUAAAGGGCGCGUAGGCGGCCUGACAAGUGGAAGGUGAAAUCCCUCGGCUUAACCGAGGAACUGCCCUCCAAACUGUCUGGCUUGAGACCGGGAGAGGUGAGUGGAAUUCCCAGUGUAGCGGUGAAAUGCGUAGAGAUCGGGAGGAACACCCGUGGCGAAGGCGGCCUGCUGGGCCGAUCCUGACGCUGAGGCGCGAAGGCGUGGGGAGCGAACGGG